rnacentral:rRNA from 1 species
AGUGAACGCUGGCGGUAGGCCUAACACAUGCAAGUCGAACGGCAGCACAGUAAGAGCUUGCUCUUACGGGUGGCGAGUGGCGGACGGGUGAGGAAUACAUCGGAAUCUACUUUUUCGUGGGGGAUAACGUAGGGAAACUUACGCUAAUACCGCAUACGACCUACGGGUGAAAGCAGGGGAUCUUCGGACCUUGCGCGAUUGAAUGAGCCGAUGUCGGAUUAGCUAGUUGGCGGGGUAAAGGCCCACCAAGGCGACGAUCCGUAGCUGGUCUGAGAGGAUGAUCAGCCACACUGGAACUGAGACACGGUCCAGACUCCUACGGGAGGCAGCAGUGGGGAAUAUUGGACAAUGGGCGCAAGCCUGAUCCAGCCAUACCGCGUGGGUGAAGAAGGCCUUCGGGUUGUAAAGCACUUUUGUUGGGAAAGAAAAGCAGCAGGUUAAUACCCCGCUGUGCUGACGGUACCCAAAGAAUAAGCACCGGCUAACUUCGUG